AUGUCUCCAUCGUCCUCCAUAUCCCCCAUGUCCCUAUUGUCACCCUACAUCCCCAUUGUCCUCCAUGACCCUAUUAUGUCCCCAUUGUCCCCAGUGUCCCCAUUAUGUCCCCAUUAUGUCCCCAUGUCCCCAUUGUCCCUAUUGUCCCCAAUGUUCCCAUUAUGUCCCCAUUGUCCUCCAUGUCCUUAUUGUCACCCUAUGUCCCCAUUAUGUCCCCAUUGUCCCCAUGUCUCUAUUGUCACCCUACAUCCCCAUUAUCCUCCAUGUCCCCAUUAUGUCCCCAUUGUCCCCCAUGUCCCCAUUGUCCGCCUAAAUCCCCAUUAUGUCCCCAUUGUCCCCAUGUCCCUAUUGUCCCCAGUGUCCCCAUUAUGUCCCCAUUUUCCCCAUGUCCCUAUUGUCCCCAGUGUCCCCAUUAUGUCCCCAUUAUGUCCCCAUGUCCCCAUUGUCCCCAUUGUCACCCUAUGUCCCCAUUAUGCCCCCAUUGUCCCCAUUAUGUCCCCAUUGUCCCCAUGUUCCUAUUGUCCCCAUGUCCCCAUUAUGUCCCCAUUGCCCCCAAUGUCCCCACUACAUCCCCAACACCCCCAUCACGCCCCCAUUAUGUCCCCAUCACCCCCCCACCCCCCUCCCCCUCCCCUCUCCAUGACGUCACCCCUCCCCUCCCUAACCCUCCCCACCUCCCGAGGGGGGGGGGGGGCUGUGCCGCGCAGGCGCAAUGCGGCGCGGCGAAGCCGGGGCGGCCUUGCCCGGCGCCGGGCGGGGCGGGGCGGGGCGGGGCGGGGCGGAGGGGGCGGGACCAGCUCCAUCCGGGUCCCUCCCCACCGGCGCCAGAGCGGCCUCGGCGGGACGCCUACCCAUGAGCUCGGAUUUCCAGCACUACAGUUUCAGGAUGCCGAACAUCGGGUUCCAGAACCUGCCUCUCAACAUAUACAUCGUGGUUUUCGGCACGGCCAUCUUCGUCUUCAUCCUCAGUUUACUCUUCUGCUGCUACCUGAUCAGGUAAGAAUAGUUGAUUAG
rnacentral:lncRNA from 1 species